rfam:Danio rerio chromosome 3, GRCz11 reference primary assembly.
GUAGUCAUGGCUGAGUGGUUAAGGCGAUCGACUUGAGAUAUGUUGGGGAAUUCUCCCGCAGGUUCGAAUCCUGCCGACUACG